rnacentral:SRP_RNA from 1 species
GACCUGGAUCCAUGCGGCUCCAACGCCCGAACCGUGUCAGAACCGGAAGGUAGCAGCACUAAGGGAUGCUUGUAGCAGGCGUGGUCUCCGGGUCUUU